GCUCAGGAUGAACGCUAGCUACAGGCUUAACACAUGCAAGUCGAGGGGUAGCAGGGUAGCAAUACCGCUGACGACCGGCGCACGGGUGAGUAACACGUAUCCAACCUUCCCAUAACUCAGGGAUAGCCUUUCGAAAGAAAGAUUAAUACCUGAUAGCACUUAAGAAAGGCAUCUUUUUUAAGUUAAAGAUUUAUUGGUUAUGGAUGGGGAUGCGUUCCAUUAGAUAGUUGGUGAGGUAACGGCUCACCAAGUCUUCGAUGGAUAGGGGUUCUGGGAGGAAGGUCCCCCACAUUGGUACUGAGACACGGACCAAACUCCUACGGGAGGCAGCAGUGAGGAAUAUUGGUCAAUGGGCGAGAGCCUGAACCAGCCAAG
rnacentral:rRNA from 1 species